rnacentral:rRNA from 1 species
AGUGAACGCUGGCGGUAGGCCUAACACAUGCGAGUCGAACGGCAGCACAGUAAGAGCUUGCUCUUACGGGUGGCGAGUGGCGGACGGGUGAGGAAUACAUCGGAAUCUACUUUUUCGUGGGGGAUAACGUAGGGAAACUUACGCUAAUACCGCAUACGACCUACGGGUGAAAGCAGGGGAUCUUCGGACCUUGCGCGAUUGAAUGAGCCGAUGUCGGAUUAGCUAGUUGGCGGGGUAAAGGCCCACCAAGGCGACGAUCCGUAGCUGGUCUGAGAGGAUGAUCAGCCACACUGGAACUGAGACACGGUCCAGACUCCUACGGGAGGCAGCAGUGGGGAAUAUUGGACAAUGGGCGCAAGCCUGAACCAGCCAUACCGCGUGGGUGAAGAAGGCCUUCGGGUUGUAAAGCCCUUUUGUUGGGAAAGAAAAGCAGCAGGUUAAUACCCCGCUGUUCUGACGGUACCCAAAGAAUAAGCACCGGCUAACUUCGUG